rnacentral:rRNA from 1 species
GUUUGAUCUGGCUCGAGCGAACGCUGGCGGCAGGCCUACACUUGCAAGUCAACGCCCNGUGCAAUCGGGAGUGGCAGACGGGUGAGUAACACGUGGGAACGUGCCCUUCGGUUCGGAAUACCCAGGGAAACUUGGGCUAAUACCGGAUACGUCCGCAAGGAGAAAGAUUUAUCGCCGAAGGAUCGGCCCGCGUCCGAUUAGCUAGUUGGUGAGGUAACGGNCUACCAAGGCGACGAUCGGUAGCUGGUCUGAGAGGAUGAUCAGCCACACUGGGACUGAGACACGGCCCAGACUCCUACGGGAGGCAGCAGUGGGGAAUAUUGGACAAUGGGCGCAAGCCUGAUCCAGCCAUGCCGCGUGGGUGAUGAAGGCCCUAGGGUUGAAAGCCCUUUCGGCGGGGAAGAUAAUGACGGUACCCGCAGAAGAAGCC